CAAGGGCGUGCGAAUACAUCUCUGUCAGUCUGUCUCAGUGUCUCGUCAGAGUGUGGAUAUCAAGUUAUCUUCCGUACACAUACCUCUUACGUGUGUAGAUAGGUAUAGUUUUUUUAGUGUUUCAAGUGAAAAUUGCAUACAUUCUGUGUAAUUGUUAUAUGUAUCUGAACAAAUAAUCACCACUCACCAGUAAAGCACGAAAUCGCAUUAGCCAGUCCACUUUCAAGUUCCAAGGGAGAAGUGAAAACGAAGCUCCUCCGCCUAAGCUUAUAAAUUGGUCCCUGCUGAGCCCUUUCAACUGCUGUUGCUGUAACCGUCAUAUCUCUUUUAUCAUCUCUUCAUCUGUGUAUCUGUACAGUAUCCCAAACCAUGUCUGAAGUACUCGCUGAUAUCAACGUGGACCAUGCAGAACAAGACAUCGCUGAAGCUGAAAAUAUGACCACUGACACUGACGAUGACGAGUUGAAUCAGCUGGCCGACGAUUACUCAAAAUUGAAAUCUCGCCAAUGUGGGACAUUUCACGAUGCUGUUGCCACUUGUGUAGUGCCGGUGAUGAUAGGUACAAAAAUAGUAGCGAUGAAACUUGAUACAGGAUCAGGACCUAAUAUAAUCAACCAACAAUUGGUUGACAGCAUACGACAAGUGGCACCAGAUUGUGUAAAACCAAUUCAGGUGGAAUAUCCACUCCAGCUACGAUUUCCUAGUAAUCAAAUCAUAAGUACCGCAGUUGAAAUAAAAAUGUUCUUUGGAUCUGAAAUACUGCACAUGCCAUUCUACAUAAUAGAAUCUAAAGCUGCAGGAUUCAAAUUCCUUAUGGGCAGAAUAUCAAUGGCUCAUUACAAGAUGGCUCUGUUCAUACAUGAGAAAUGCGCUGGUUGCAGACCAUCAGGCAAAAAACCUUUCUUGGUUCCAUACCUCAAUUCUGAUCAAUAUGCCGAUGCGAUGUCUCUCAAUGUCGAACAUUUAGAGACAUACACGCGUGACGAAAUUGCCCAGCAAAUGGGUAUCAAGCGCUUAAUAUGUAAUACAUAUUAUUUGAUUUAAUUAUAAAAUUGAAUAUCAUUCUAUUUCAAGUUUCAUAAAAUUGAAUAAUUGAUAAGUGUAAUGCUUUGUAAUAAUCUACGUUUUUCGAGAAUUAAACGUUUAUAUUACUUGA